rnacentral:rRNA from 1 species
AAAUUGAAGAGUUUGAUCAUGGCUCAGAUUGAACGCUGGCGGCAGGCUUAACACAUGCAAGUCGAACGGUAGCAGGAAGGAAGCUUGCUUUCUUUGCUGACGAGUGGCGGACGGGUGAGUAAUACUUGGGGAUCUGGCUUAUGGAGGGGGAUAACGACGGGAAACUGUCGCUAAUACCGCGUAAUGUCUAAGGACUAGAGGGUGGGACUUUCGGGCCACCUGCCAUAAGAUGAGCCCAAGUGGGAUUAGGU